AAAACAGCUUAGAUUUACCAAAUUUAACGGAAUGGUAGAGGAAAUGAGAUACGCAAUUCAUCAGCUGUUUCUCUCUGCAGAAGGAUAUCAAAUGCCACCUCUUCAGCACCUUUAUGACUUACAGUAUUCCCUGGCCCCUCUUGCAAAAGUUAUCACCGCAUUAGAUGUUGCUGAACAUAUUUGAUAUGAAAGCAUUGUCUGUUCGCUUCCAGUAUCUAACGAGUAUCUCCCCUAGAGUUGCCAGCAAGGUGCUGAUUAAUUAACUGAGGUAGUGGAGCUGAAUCGUACAACAGCUGUUUGGAGAAUUGUCAUUAACUUGGUCUCCUUUCCUGUCUAUUAACUUACUUCUAGUGAUAGAACGCCAAGUUGCAACGCGGGGGAGAAUCUGCUGCAGACGCACCUUUGUUUGUCUGUAUUCCGUACCAAAAUAGCAAGUGAAGGAGGGCUUUGGUGUUUUGUUUUUUUUUUAAAGGAGGAACAAAGAAUGAUAUAGAAGGUAAACAAGGAACGAAGAAGCAAAAGAAAACAAGUCACACGGCACCCGAGAGUGGAUAUUCCUCCAGGCAGAACGGCAAAAUGGAAAUGGCAUCUAUCCUGAACCCAGACAGGAGCACAAGCCCCCCAAAUCAUAGAAAGGAAAGCAGCAACCACCUAAGAGGCUUGGCGUGUUCCUCAACAAGAGUGAAGCUAUGAGAAGAUGCAUUCCAUUUCUUCAGACUACAGUAGUGUGCCAGAUUUCCUAUUGGUUUUCCUGCCUUUCUGCUUCAGCCCUCUUGGAUGAAAUUCUUCAAAACCACCUUGGACCUUCCUAUGAACCCCCCACCGUGCUACAAUCCAUCUCUGAUGCCAAGCCUGCUGUGAUUCAUAUUUCUGUACCUCAGAUGCUUGCCUGCCUACAGCCCACAGAAGAGAAGAGAAAAUUCAUAGUUGAAAGUGCACACUGCUGUGCUAACUGAGGUUGUUCACUCAUUUCAUUUAUCAGGAUAAAAGUGAUACUUUGGGAGUUGUCAAACUAUUUCCCAAGCCCAUUUUCCAAAUCACCUUAUUCGCCACAUGCUUUUUGUUACUCUGUUCUGUGUCUGCUUUGGUGGCAUUUUUUUUUCUGGCAUUCUUAUAAAUUUACUUGUAAGUGAUUCCAGCCAAUGUGAUGCUAGUAUACAGCAUAGCAAAUCAGAUCUAACUAUGUGAGAACAUCACAAACCCAACUGAAAAUGAGGUUAAUGCUGCUGAAUAAGUAUUUCUUUUUUUCUGAGUGGGAAAAUACUUGCAGAACAACCUUGGGGGGAAUCACUAAAGAGGGUUAUUUUACAGCACUCAAACAAGUUAUUUCUUAAAAGUAUCUCCUUGUCAAGGUUCAGAGAAGAUAGAGACAGUGUCACUGAUACUCAGGCAAGGAGCCAAGUGGUUCCUCCUCUGUGGUUUCAGAGUGGUGCAUGAACAUAUAAAGCAAAAAAUAUAGGUGGGAAAAGGAAAAUUACUUGCCACUAAACCUGGAGCUAUGCCUUCAAAAAGUCACAGAUCAGAGGAAAAAGGAUUGGGUGAGGAAGGUAAUCUGGAUAGAAGCCUCAAUCAACAAUUAGCUUGAGUUUUCACCUUUCUUUCAUUCGUGAAUACUUUGAAUGUCCAGAACUUUUGUUUUAGUCAAAAGUGCUGAUACAAAUAUUAGAAAUUAGUUACUGGCCCAUACAACUAAUCUAGGUAAAGACAGGAGAUGGUACCAACACCUUGACCUGAAGUAGACUCCGUCCCCCAUCGUAAAUUCAUUUUGGAGAUGAGUGUCAAAAGCAAUCCCAUUUGUUUUCGAGUACAAAAUUUAUUCCACAUAAUUUAUUCCAACAAAAAUAAUAUGGUAACAUUGUUGGGAGGAUCUGGCAUACUCCCAGUUCUAAUUAUUGUCAACAUUUCAUAUUUCCAGCCACCAUGACUUUUUCUUCCUAUCCUCAGUUUCACGUCCUACAAAACAUAAAGGAACCAUUGUAGUAUUGAGUUGGCAAUUUCUCCACAUAAAGCAGGAGACAAACAGAAGAACAGUACACAAACACCUCUUAACUUUCCUCCAUUACAUUGGGAUUCUUCACACCAUAUGGAUCCAGUAAGUCCUUUAUUCACUCAAAUUGUCAAUUGAUUCAUGUUUAUCUUGCUGCAAGGACUGGGACAGCCUCCAAGUGAAUUCUAACUUUUUCUCAAUUCUUAAGCUUACAAGAGCUUUACCAGGAAAAACAAAACCACUCCUUGCCUUCAGUUUUGAGGAUGAAACUUUUUUUCUGUAGCCAGAAAGGAGAAGAAAGCAGAAAAAGAAACAAUUUUAUGCAGGUUCUAAUUUAUUUACAUACUUAUUGCUGCAUUAAAGGAAUUCAACAUUAGAGGAUGAUCAGAAGAUCACCAUAAACAGGCCUAGGGUAAUCAGAAACUACUUCAGUGCCCACUACAGUUCCAGCCUUUUUUAAAAAAAAUUUUUUUGAAUAUCCCUUAUUUUCUGUGCUCUACCACUAUAUAGACAAGUGCUGGGUCAAGUGACUGCAAUUUUGAAUAGGUCAUGUUUCUGAGGUCCACCCCAAUUUGCAAAAACAUUGGGGAUUGGUAGUGGCCAAACCAGUGAUUCUCCCAGUUCUUCUUUUCAUAGUCCGAGGUUGAAGACGAAUGAUCAGUUGCUGGAGCUUUGUUGCUUUCAGAGCUAUUUUUCAUCUCCCACAGUGCCAGCUAAAAUUGUAAUCUUUGGGGGGUUACAACAAAAGCCACCACAUAAUGACAUAACCAUAAUGACCCCCCUCCCCCCCGUAUGAUGGCACUUUCUGACAAUUUCUGGUUGUACAAGAAUGGAAUAUACAGUGGCUGUGUUCUCCUCCUCAGACUCUGUUUAAAGCACACCUUCUAUGGAAAGUUAGAAGAAUGGAAGGAAAUGCCCCCUGAUU
rnacentral:lncRNA from 11 species